rnacentral:lncRNA from 1 species
UCUCCGGCUCCUUCGGGAGCGAUCGGGGCGAGGCCGCUGCGGACAUCCCGCGGCACCUCCCCUCCAGCCGAUCCGCGGCCAAUCCGGCCGUGGACUACGCUCGACCGCCACGAUUUUCGCGGCGGAGAGCCAUUAUGAAGGGGCUACAAAACUCCUUCGUUCCUUCCCCUAGGACCACCUUCCUCUCCUCCCUCUCCUCCCUCUUCUUCUUUUGUUCUUGCCUCCCGAGUGACCGGCGUCCCCUUUCCGACCGAGCGCCGUCCGGAUCCCCCUCGCGACCAUCCCCUGUUCCGAGAUCCAUCCUCUCCGUUUCGAGCGCCGCCGCCGCUUGACCGCCGGAUCGAACAGCAGCGGCCGAGAUCUUCCUCCCGCCGCCUCCGUCGACCGUCGG